UAGGGCUAGUGGGCUCUUGGGAGUGGCCCGUCCUGCGUGCAGUAGAGUUGCCUUGGGGUUUCAGGUACAUGCUGGGGAUGUAGCCGGCUUUGGCUUUGUAUCUGUGGAAGAAAACCAAAGGUCGGGUUAAACCCUGGAAGGAUUGAUCAGAAAUAUGUACAUCAAAAGUCCAAGAGAGCAGUUUGCACCUUGUCCAUGACCUUUGAAAUACAAAUAUGUGUCUUAUCACACCCUAAACCUUACCCUAACCUUUCUAUCCUGUAAUCCUUGUAUUUCGAGGGAACGGAAAAACUGGAAAGUGUACAAAAACAUUAAUGAUCCGACCCAUUUUACCACAAAGGGUGCAUGUCAGUCUCCAAGGUAAGUCUUCCAGGGACAAACUGGAUUUAAGUAUCUUCCCAAGUAUGUUCCCAAGCUGUACAAGUCAAGUAUCAAGGGUCCAACAGAAGUAAAUAUGAGGUCACCACCCCAGUGACCCUCCAUUGUUAGCCCUACCCUAAGGCACCGUCAUAGGAGUUCACCCCUACCCCUCAAGGUCUCUGAGGUAAGUGUUCCUAAAACAGUGAAAUUGCCAAAGAAAGAUUGUAAUACCUGAUGAGCCACCAGCCAUUUUCCGACUUCUGCAGGACCUCCACCACAGCACCAAGGCUCACGGUCAUUUCGUCGUCAUUGUGGGCCUGGUAACUCUUGGUGACGUUGUACAACAUUCCUGAUGAGGACAGAGCAACACAAUGAGAAAGUCCAACCAAGAGAACUCAUGAAUGAGCAAAAGUGUUCAUAGAGGGGGCGAACCUCUUUCAGGAAGUCCAUCCACACUGUCGUCUUCCGGUUCAUCAUCCAGCCUCGCCAGGUACGGCGCUGGAAACCAAGCCAUGCUCUUGUCUUCGUUCUCCACAAGCCACCAACCUUAAGCACAUAAGACAUUAGAUUUGGACGCUAUACCUGCGCCACCUUAAACGGCUUGUUCUUGGUGUCCUUGGUCUCGAAGGGGGCCACGCACCUGUACGUCUCCGUGGCAAAAGGCUGGGUCACACUGCCGCCGCCCGGGCUUUGGACUGUGUUCCACGUGGCGUCUCCUUCGGGGGCCAUGAUGACGACGCUGAGGCGGAGAGACAAGGACUUGAGGUCAUUCGGCUGCCAUCCGCCGACCUUCGCCUCCCCUGAGUGUUACAUAAGGAAAUGGAUAUACUCUUGUCUCAAAGCAGGACUUAAAAUAGAGGUCGCCCUCCUCAUCUGUGCCACGUCUUGACUUGCGUCAAGCAACCGGCUGUGAAGAUGAAUAAGUCUUGCAGGAAUAAAAAGGUCAGCACAGCUACUACUCUGACCCAGUUGCACACACUCACCUCCGUCAGGCCCCUGAUCUUCAAAUAUCCACAUAAAUAAGAGUCCUCUGGAGUCACAUGCUGUCAGAGAUAAACAAUAUUAGUGAAGUCUAACAUGCGUGAUUAAAUGACUACCACUUUUGAGGGCAUGUGAUGAAAGUUAACAUGAAAAAUGUCUGCAAAAGGACAAUGCAUUUGUUGAUGGGUAAAUUAAAUUUUAAAAUAUGGGUUAGGUGCAUAAUAUGUAAAUGCAUUGCAAUCAUUUAAUUAUUGAUAAUGACAUUUAAUGACAUACUAAUGACAUGGUCGGACAGAUCAUACCGACAACCAAGCCACUGUCGACAUGCAGCGAGCUAGCAUUGAAGCAAGUGCAUUAAAAAGUUUCAUUUUAAAAUGACAAUGACGAAACGUCAAGUUAACAUUGAUUUUUUUUUACCUGCAAAACGACAUCCACGUCGUAAG